CGGGCCUGUCGGUGAAAGAUCAGCCCAUGUCCUAUCAGCUUGUUGGUGGGGUAAUGGCCUACCAAGGCGACGACGGGUAGCCGGCGUGAGAGCGUGAUCGGCCACAUCGGGACUGAGACACUGCCCGGACACCUACGGGUGGCUGCAGCAACGAAUAUUCCGCAAUGGACGAAAGUCUGACGGAGCGACGCCGCGUGGGGGAUGAAGUCCUUCGGGAUGUAAACUCCAAUAGUUUGUCAGGAAGUGAACGAGGCUAAUACCCUCGUGAGUUGACCAGCAUACGAAAGGGGCGGCUAAUUCCGUGCCAGCAGCCGCGGUAAUACGGAAGCCCCAAGCGUUGUUCGGAAUCACUGGGCUUAAAGAGCGUGUAGGCGGGAUGGUAAGUACUUUGUGAAAGCCCCGGCUUCAAUCCGGGAAUUGCUUGGUAUACUGCUAUCCUUGAGGCAGGUAGGGGUGACUGGAACCUUAGGUGGAGCGGUGAAAUGCGAAGAUAUCUAAGGGAACACCUGUGGCGAAAGCGGGUCACUAGGCCUGUCCUGACGCUGAGACGCGAAAGCGUAGGGAGCGAACGGGAUUAGAUUACCCCGGUAGUCUAACGCCGUAAACGAUGCGCACUAGGUUCGAGAACCUCUGACGGUUUUCGUGCCGAAACUUAAACGAUAAGUGCGCCGCCUGGGGAGUACGACCGCAAGGCUAAAACUCAAAGGAAUUGACGGGGGCUCACACAAGCGGUGGAGCAUGUGGAUUAAUUCGAAGCAACGCGAAGAACCUUACAUGGGUUUGACAUGCAUGGAUGCCCUCUUGGAAACAGGAGUAAGCUGCCUUCGGGUGAAACAUGCACAGGUGCUGCAUGGCUGUCGUCAGCCCGUGCUGUGAAGUGUCGGGUUAAGUCCCUUAACGAGCGAAACCCUUGUCGCUAGUUGCCAGCGGUUCGGCCGGGAACUCUAGCGAGACUGCCGGCGUUAAGCCGGAGGAAGGUGGGGACGACGUCAAGUCAUCAUGGCCUUUAUGCCCAGGGUGUCACACGUGCUACAAUGGGGCGUACAGAGCGACGCAAGACCGUGAGGUGGAGCAAAUCGCACAAAGCGCUCCUCAGUUCGGAUUGGGGUCUGCAAUUCGACCCCAUGAAGUCGGAAUCGCUAGUAAUCGCGCAUCACCCAUGGCGCGGUGAAUGAGUUCCUGAGCAUUGUACACACCGCCCGUCAAGUCA
rnacentral:rRNA from 1 species